AAAACUGGCCAGUAUUGCAACGAAAAAAAGUAAAAAAAAGGGGCAAGGGAUGAGACGGAAAGCGUACGCCAACUGGAGAAACCAUCAAAGGGAAAGCAAUUAAAUUCCCGGGGCGAUCCAAUUCUCGGAGAAAAAAAGGCAAUCCGAGUUAGGGCUUCCUCAUUUGGAGCUCUUCCCAGGUGAUUCUCCGAUCCCAUUGUUCGUCGAUCGUCUUUCAAUUGCCUCAACACUUAUACUGGUGAAUGAUAUGGUGGAACCCAUUGUUUUCCGGCAUAAAGAGUAGAAGAGAAAUUAGCUUAGACUUGAUUUCUUCUCAAUUUUUUUAUUGAAUGUAAGGAGGCAGAAAAGAUUGAAAUGGGGUCAUUGCUGAGCUUGCCUGUUAGUAGAUCUCGGGUAGGGGACCUUUCUGAAACUUCUCAAGUUGAAGCCUCCAAGAGGCUGAGGAUGUCACCCAACUACCAUGAUGAGAACCCAAGAUUAAUAUCCAGCCUCCCUGAUGAAAUUUCGCUGCAGAUCCUAGCAAGACUGCCUAGAAUCUACUACUUGAAUGUGAAAAUGGUUUCUCGGAGCUGGAAAGCUGCCAUAACUGGUCCUGAAAUCUAUCGAUUGAGAAAAGAACUCGGGAUAACUGAAGAAUGGCUGUAUAUACUGACAAAAGUUGAAGAGGAUAAACUUUUGUGGUAUGCUUUGGACCCUUUGUCUAAAUUAUGGCAAAGGCUGCCACCAAUGCCCAAUGUUGUUUAUGAGGAUGAGUCUAGGAAAGGAUUGUCUGGAUUUUGCAUGUGGAAUGUGAUGGGUACCAGCAUCAAGAUUGCUGAUGUUAUCAGAGGCUGGCUUGGGCGGAGGGAUGCCUUGGAUCGGAUGCCUUUUUGUGGUGGUGCUAUUGGAGCUGUUGAUGGAUGCCUCUACGUUUUAGGGGGAUUAUCUAGAGCUUCAGCUAUGAAUUGUGUCCGGCGAUAUGAUCCUUGUGUUAAUUUGUGGCAGGAAGUGAGUUCAAUGACCACUGGGAGGGCCUUUUGUAAGACGAGUCUGUUGAACAAUAAGCUUUAUGUUGUGGGUGGAGUCAGCAGAGAUAGAGGUGGCUUAACUCCUCUACAGUCUGCUGAAGUAUAUGAUCCUGACACUGGUAUCUGGACACAGGUGCCAAGCAUGCCAUUCUCAAAAGCACAGAUCCUACCUACUGCUUUCUUAGCUGAUUUGCUGAAGCCUAUUGCAACUGGAAUGACUUCAUACAGAGGUAGGUUAUGUGUACCUCAGAGUCUAUAUUCUUGGCCUUUUUUUGUUGAUGUUGGGGGCGAGAUCUAUGACCCUGAGACAAAUUCUUGGGUGGACAUGCCAGCUGGAAUGGGUGAGGGUUGGCCUGCAAAGCAGGCAGGGACAAAGUUGAGUGUUGUAGUAAAUGGGGAAUUAUAUGCUUUGGACCCAUCUAGUUCUUUAGAUGAUGGCAUGAUAAAGAUAUAUAAUCAUCAGGAGGAUGCAUGGAAAGUUGUCAUUGGAAAGGUCCCUCUUCAUGAUUUUGCUGAUUCUGAGUCUCCAUAUUUGCUUGCUGGUUUUCUUGGGAAGCUUCAUGUGAUCACAAAAGAUGUCAACAAUGACACUGCCGUACUGCAGGCCGACUUGCAGAAUCAUAUGUCUCCUUCCUCUUUAACUUCAUCAUCUGCAGCCAACUCAGCAAGUCAAAAGGUUGAUACAUCAGUAGAAGCAGAAACAGAUAUUUGGAAGGUCAUUGCUUCUAAGAAUUUUGGUGCGGCAGAACUUGUCAGCUGCCAGGUAUUUGCUUGUGCUGGUGCAAAGUAAUAUGCAGCUCCACUGAAAGAUUCUCUACCAUGUUGUACUAGCCAGACCUUGAUGACUGAAAAGGUAGUCUUGCAAUCUGUCAGAGCCUGUUUGGUAUAGUAGCCCUGCUGUCAGUUAACUUGGCAAGUGAUGAUUGAAAGGAACCUUGAUAAGAAUUUCCUUUAAGAUGUGCAGUAUACCUAUCAGAAUACUACAAAGCAGUAUUGCUGCAUAAUGCCUGACAAGUACUAUAUGAAGAAAGUGAAGAUUGGUGGGGAGCGAAAAUUUAUAGACAUCAUGCUGAAAGAAAUGCGAAUAUUGCUUAACUUUGGGGUGCAUGCACACAGAGAGAUAGAGAGGCUGCAUGUUGUGGUGGUUCGUGCAUAAUGGGAUAAGCUAUGUAACUUUUAUAUAAUGUUAUCAGUUCUAUCAGCAGGGAUAAGGCAAUGGUACUUAUUCAUUUCUAUGUUGAUUCUGGAGGAGAAGCUAUAAAUUUUGAUACUAUUGUAGCCGGUAAUCAACUUCACAAGAUGAUGAAUUGAUGAUUUCUUCUCUCAGUGUGAAACAAAGACUGCUGGCUGUGUACUGUUCAAAGAUCUGUUGUUUCUAUUAGGGACUUUUGCCUUUAUAGAUAGUAGCCACAGAAUGAUAGUAUAUUGGAAUCUAUGAUUUUUUAUCACAGUUAAAUAUUAUAAGGUGCAUCAUAAGGCUUGUUAUUAUCCUUGUUCAUUCACCAGCAAGGACUGCAAGGUAUAGCUUCAAAAAAAGGGACCGCAAGGUAUAGACAUUCAAAAGCUUUUGCAUG